CCACCCCUGGCCAAAAUUAAACUUUACAAAAGAUUACCAUUCAGUUGUCACAUAUGUCCUUUACCCGAUUUCUGUGACACUGAGGAGUUUGAUAACUGCUUGUGAAAUUUGCUGCAGUCUAAUGUAUCAUGUUGUCUGCACAUGUGCUUUCUUUGAAGACACCAUUUGUCUUCUAACAAAUUGGAAAAUGAUCAAGACAGUGACUGAUUGAUUCACAUAUUGUAUUGACAUAUGACUAUAACUUUUUAUUACCCAACCCUUGAGUUGUUUUGUUUUUCAUUUACCCAACCUUUUACUUACUCAAAAUUUAGUUUACCCAACCAUUUUCUCUUCGGUGCCACCCCCCGCCAUAAAUAAUGACCGGUCCCU